rnacentral:rRNA from 1 species
CUCGUAGGCGGUUUGUCGCGUCUGCUGUGAAAUCCGGAGGCUCAACCUCCGGCCUGCAGUGGGUACGGGCAGACUAGGGUGCGGUAGGGGAGAUUGGAAUUCCUGGUGUAGCGGUGGAAUGCGCAGAUAUCAGGAGGAACACCAAUGGCGAAGGCAGAUCUCUGGGCCGUAACUGACGCUGAGGUGCGAAAGCGUGGGGAGCAAACA